rnacentral:rRNA from 1 species
CCUACGGGAGACAGCAGUAGGGAAUAUUGCACAAUGGGGGAAACCCUGAUGCAGCAACGCCGCGUGGAGGAUGAAGGUCUUCGGAUUGUAAACUCCUGUUGUUAGAGAAGAAAAUGACGGUAUCUAACGAAUAAGCACCGGCUAACUCCGUGCCAGCAGCCGCGGUAAUACGGAGGGUGCAAGCGUUACUCGGAAUCACUGGGCGGAAAGGGCGCGUAGGCGGGAUAGCAAGUCAGAUGUGAAAUCCUAUGGCUUAACCAUAGGACUGCAUUUGAAACUGGUAUACUAGAGUAUGGGAGAGGUAGGUGGAAUUCCUGGUGUAGGGGUGAAAUGCGUAGAUAUCAGGAGGAAUACUCAUGGCGAAGGCGACCUGCUAGAACAUAACUGACGCUGAUGCGCGAAAGCGUGGGGAGCAAACAGGAUUAGAUACCCCAGUAGUC